rnacentral:rRNA from 1 species
AUUGAACGCUGGCGGCAUGCCUUACACAUGCAAGUCGAACAGCAGCGGACCUUCGGGUGCCGGCGAGUGGCGAACGGGUGAGUAAUAUAUCGGAACGUACCUUUCAGUGGGGAUAACGUAGCGAAAGUUACGCUAAUACCGCAUAUUCUGUGAGCAGGAAAGCAGGGGAUCGCAAGACCUUGCGCUGAUUGAGCGGCCGAUAUCAGAUUAGCUAGUUGGUGAGGUAAAGGCUCACCAAGGCGACGAUCUGUAGCGGGUCUGAGAGGAUGAUCCGCCACACUGGAACUGAGACACGGUCCAGACUCCUACGGGAGGCAGCAGUGGGGAAUUUUAAACAAUGGGCGCAAGCCUGAUCCAGCCAUGCCGCGUGAGUGAAGAAGGCCUUCGGGUUGUAAAGCUCUUUCGGCCGGGAAGAAAUCGCACAGGUUAAUACCCUGUGUGGAUGACGGUACCGGAAUAAGAAGCACCGGCUAACUACGUG